UACGUAGGGUGCGAGCGUUAAUCGGAAUUACUGGGCGUAAAGCGUGCGCAGGCGGUUUUGUAAGCCAGAUGUGAAAUCCCCGGGCUUAACCUGGGAAUGGCAUUUGGGACUGCAAGGCUGGAGUGUGGCAGAGGGAGACUGGAAUUCCUGGUGUAGCAGUGAAAUGCGUAGAUAUCAGGAGGAAUACCGAUGGCGAAGGCAGGUCUCUGGGCUGACACUGACGCUCAUGCACGAAAGCGUGGGGAGCAAACAGGG
rnacentral:rRNA from 1 species